AACAGUGUGGUGCAGUGGUUUGAGCAUUGGACGAGCAAUCUAGAGACCAGGGUUUGAUACCCUGCCUUGCCA